rnacentral:rRNA from 1 species
UACGUAGGGGGCAAGCGUUAUCCGGAUUUACUGGGUGUAAAGGGAGCGUAGACGGCGAUGCAAGUCUGAAGUGAAAGGCGGGGGCCCAACCCCCGGACUGCUUUGGAAACUGUAUGGCUGGAGUGCAGGAGAGGUAAGUGGAAUUCCUAGUGUAGCGGUGAAAUGCGUAGAUAUUAGGAGGAACACCAGUGGCGAAGGCGGCUUACCGGACUGUAACUGACGUUGAGGCUCGAAAGCGUGGGGAGUAAACAGG